UUCUUGGAGAGUUUGAUCCUGGCUCAGGACGAACGCUGGCGGCGUGCCUAAUACAUGCAAGUCGAGCGAACCUGCAGGAGCUUGCUCCUGUUGGUUAGCGGCGGACGGGUGAGUAACACGUGGGCAACCUGCCUGUAAGACUGGG
rnacentral:rRNA from 1 species